rnacentral:rRNA from 1 species
GACGAACGCUGGCGGCAGGCUUAACACAUGCAAGUCGAGCGCCCACUUCGGUGGGAGCGGCAGACGGGUGAGUAACGCGUGGGAACGUGCCCUUCGGUACGGAACAACAGUUAGAAAUGACUGCUAAUACCGUAUACGACCUCCGGGUGAAAGAUUUAUCGCCGAAGGAUCGGCCCGCGUUAGAUUAGCUAGUUGGUGGGGUAAAGGCCUACCAAGGCGACGAUCUAUAGCUGUUCUGAGAGGAAGAUCAGCCACACUGGGACUGAGACACGGCCCAGACUCCUACGGGAGGCAGCAGUGGGGAAUAUUGGACAAUGGGCGAAAGCCUGAUCCAGCCAUGCCGCGUGGAUGAAGAAGGCCCUAGGGUUGUAAAGUCCUUUCGAUGGUGAAGAUAAUGACGGUAACCAUAGAAGAAGCCCCGGCUAAUUUCGUGCCAGCAGCCGCGGUAAUACGAAAGGGGCUAGCGUUGUUCGGAAUUACUGGGCGUAAAGCGCACGUAGGCGGCUUUGUAAGUUGGGGGUGAAAUCCCGGGGCUCAACCCCGGAACUGCCUCCAAAACUA